rnacentral:rRNA from 1 species
UACGAAGGGUGCAAGCGUUACUCGGAAUUACUGGGCGCAGAGCGUGCGUAGGUGGUGGUUUAAGUCUGUUGUGAAAGCCCUGGGCUCAACCUGGGAAUUGCAGUGGAUACUGGGUCACUAGAGUGUGGUAGAGGGUAGCGGAAUUCCCGGUGUAGCAGUGAAAUGCGUAGAGAUCGGGAGGAACAUCCGUGGCGAAGGCGGCUACCUGGACCAACACUGACACUGAGGCACGAAAGCGUGGGGAGCAAACAGG